UACGAGAGGCCCAAACGUUAUUCGGAAUUACUGGGCUUAAAGAGUUCGUAGGCGGCGCAACAAGUGGGGUGUGAAAGCCCUCGGCUCAACCGAGGAACUGCGCCCAAAACUGCUGUGCUCGAGGGAGAUAGAGGUGAGCGGAACUUAGGGUGGAGCGGUGAAAUGCGUUGAUAUCCUAAGGAACACCGGUGGCGAAAGCGGCUCACUGGAUCUCUUCUGACGCUGAGGCACGAAAGCUAGGGUAGCGAACGGG
rnacentral:rRNA from 1 species